ACACUUUGUCCAGCCAUUUUCAAUCAUGUACUCAGAAACUGUUGGAAGAAGAGUGUACCAUGGCAUAGCCUUCAUAGCAACAUAUAUUUGUAAGAGCAUGGCUCUGUUUGAAGGUAUGGUAUCUGCAAGAGAUCAAAAAAAGGUGUAAUCUUAGGCCUGACAAGUAAACUGGCAAAUCAUCAUCUCAAGUGAAUGAUACUAGAGUCUAAAUGAAAUUCAAACACUACCUUACAUAAGAAAACUCCACCAAUAAAUCAAUCAGCAACUUUUAAAAGUCAUGCUUGCUGAUUGAAAUGGUGGAUCAAUCUUAUUAAAUAGGCAUAUACGCAUGCUGUGAGAAAAUAAGAAAAAAAGUUGUAAUUUCUCAGCAAAUAGGAACAGAGAAAAAAAAAAACAUAAAAAGCGGUAACUUCUCUACACAUCAUAACUUCUGUUGUCAUAAUCAUGAAGUAAUGUUAUGUUACAUGGCAUUCGGGCUUCAGGACAUCACUUGGCUUUUUGAAACUCAAAAAAAAAAAAA
rnacentral:lncRNA from 1 species